GAUGAACGCUGGCGGCGUGCCUAAUACAUGCAAGUCGAGCGAACGGACGAGAAGCUUGCUGCUCUGAUGUUAGCGGCGGACGGGUGAGUAACACGUGGAUAACCUACCUAUAAGACUGGGAUAACUUCGGGAAACCGGAGCUAAUACCGGAUAAUAUUUUGAACCGCAUGGUUCAAAAGUGAAAGACGGUCUUGCUGUCACUUAUAGAUGGAUCCGCGCUGCAUUAGCUAGUUGGUAAGGUAACGGCUUACCAAGGCAACGAUGCAUAGCCGACCUGAGAGGGUGAUCGGCCACACUGGAACUGAGACACGGUCCAGACUCCUACGGGAGGCAGCAGUAGGGACUCUUCCGCAAUGGGCGAAAGCCUGACGGAGCAACGCCGCGUGAGUGAUGAAGGUCUUCGGAUCGUAAAGCUCUGUUAUUAGGGAAGAACAUAUGUGUAAGUAACUGUGCACAUCUUGACGGUACCUAAUCAGAAAGCCACGGCUAACUACGUG
rnacentral:rRNA from 1 species